UACGUAGGGUGCAAGCGUUGUCCGGAAUUAUUGGGCGUAAAGAGCUCGUAGGCGGUUUGUCGCGUCUGCUGUGAAAACUCGGGGCUUAACCCCGGGCCUGCAGUGGGUACGGGCAGACUAGAGUGAUGUAGGGGAGACUGGAAUUCCUGGUGUAGCGGUGAAAUGCGCAGAUAUCAGGAGGAACACCGGUGGCGAAGGCGGAUCUCUGGGCCUUACCUGACGCUCAGGUGCGAAAGCUAGGGGAGCGAACAGG
rnacentral:rRNA from 1 species